GAUAGAGUACCAUUUAUUCUGAUUCUGGCUGUGGGUUGUUCGUAUAAGGCUAAAAUUCUCUCUCUGCUUAUCUGUCCUAGACCUAUGCCCGCUAGAGUUCUGUCUAGGAAGUCCCAUGACACUCGGUCAAAUGCUUACUCUGCAUCGGUGGUACAAAUCCUGCUUGGUCGGUAUGAAUUAUAUUAGAUUGCUACUAAGUGCCAUCAGAUGACCUCUAAGGACACAUUUCAAGGUUUCCCAUAAUGUCGCCUGAGAGAUCUCAUCAGAGGAAUUAUUCUGUAUUAUUUGAGAAAUCAGAGAUUGAAUUUGUUUUCUAAUAUCUUUUCUAUGGAGCAUAGAUUCAUUUAGUCUCCAAGUAUAUUCAUUUCUUGAGGUCUGAGGGAUUUUAAAUUUUAUUCUAACUGGUGCAUGGUCUGAGUGAUGAAAAUUCCCUAUGUCAGCAGAGUUAAAUAAAUGUAACCAUUUUUGAGAUGUAUAUAUAAAAUCUAUCCUUGAAUAA